GAUGAACGCUGGCGGCGUGCCUAAUACAUGCAAGUCGAGCGAACGGACGAGAAGCUUGCUUCUCUGAUGUUAGCGGCGGACGGUGAGUAACACGUGGAUAACCUACCUAUAAGACUGGGAUAACUUCGGGAAACCGGAGCUAAUACCGGAUAAUAUUUUGAACCGCAUGGUUCAAAAGUGAAAGACGGUCUUGCUGUCACUUAUAGAUGGAUCCGCGCUGCAUUAGCUAGUUGGUAAGGUAACGGCUUACCAAGGCAACGAUGCAUAGCCGACCUGAGAGGGUGGUCGGCCACACGGGAACUGAGACACGGUCCAGACUCCUACGGGAGGCAGCAGUAGGGAAUCUUCCGCAAUGGGCGAAAGCCUGACGGAGCAACGCCGCGUGAGUGAUGAAGGUCUUCGGAUCGUAAAACUCUGUUAUUAGGGAAGAACAUAUGUGUAAGUAACUGUGCACAUCUUGACGGUACCUAAUCAGAAAGCCACGGCUAACUACGUG
rnacentral:rRNA from 1 species